AACGAACGCUGGCGGCAGGCUUAACACAUGCAAGUCGAGCGAGAUCUUCGGAUCUAGCGGCGGACGGGUGAGUAACGCGUGGGAACGUGCCCUUUGCUACGGAAUAGUCCCGGGAAACUGGGUUUAAUACCGUAUGUGCCCCCCAUUUUGGUGAUGGCGGGGGAAAGAUUUAUCGGCAAAGGAUCGGCCCGCGUUGGAUUAGGUAGUUGGUGGGGUAAUGGCCUACCAAGCCGACGAUCCAUAGCUGGUUUGAGAGGAUGAUCAGCCACACUGGGACUGAGACACGGCCCAAACUCCUACGGGAGGCAGCAGUGGGGAAUCUUAGACAAUGGGGGCAACCCUGAUCUAGCCAUGCCGCGUGAGUGAUGAAGGCCUUAGGGUUGUAAAGCUCUUUCAGCUGGGAAGAUAAUGACGGUACCAGCAGAAGAAGCCCCGGCUAACUCCGUGCCAGCAGCCGCGGUAAUACGGAGGGGGCUAGCGUUGUUCGGAAUUACUGGGCGUAAAGCGCACGUAGGCGGACCAGCAAGUUAGGGGUGAAAUCCCGGGGCUCAACCCCGGAACUGCCUUUAAAACUGUUGGUCUGGAGUUCGAGAGAGGUGAGUGGAAUACCGAGUGUAGAGGUGAAAUUCGUAGAUAUUCGGUGGAACACCAGUGGCGAAGGCGGCUCACUGGCUCGAUACUGACGCUGAGGUGCGAAAGCGUGGGGAGCAAACAGG
rnacentral:rRNA from 1 species